AUUGAACGCUGGCGGCAGGCCUAACACAUGCAAGUCGGACGGUAGCACAGAGGAGCUUGCUCUUCGGGUGACGAGUGGCGGACGGGUGAGUAAUGUCUGGGAAACUGCCCGAUGGAGGGGGAUAACUACUGGAAACGGUAGCUAAUACCGCAUAACGUCGCAAGACCAAAGGGGGGGACCUUCGGGCCUCACACCAUAGGAUGUGCCCAGAUGGGAUUAGCUGGUAGGCGGGGUAACGGCCCACCUAGGCGACGAUCCCUAGCUGGUCUGAGAGGAUGACCAGCCACACUGGAACUGAGACACGGUCCAGACUCCUACGGGAGGCAGCAGUGGGGAAUAUUGCACAAUGGGCGCAAGCCUGAUGCAGCCAUGCCGCGUGUAUGAAGAAGGCCUUCGGGUUGUAAAGUACUUUCAGCGGGGAGGAAGGUGCUGAGGUUAAUAAGCUCAGCAAUUGACGUUACCCGCAGAAGAAGCACCGGCUAACUCCGUGCCAGCCGCCGCGGUAA
rnacentral:rRNA from 1 species